AACGCGAAGAACCUUACCCAGACUUGACAUGCAGUAGACCGCAUCAGAAAUGGUGCUUUCCUUCGGGACUGCUGCACAGGUGCUGCAUGGCUGUCGUCAGCUCGUGCCGUGAGGUGUUGGGUUAAGUCCCGCAACGAGCGCAACCCUUAUCAUUAGUUGCCAGCACGUAAUGGUGGGAACUCUAAUGAGACUGCCUGGGUUAACCAGGAGGAAGGUGAGGAUGACGUCAAGUCCGCAUGGCCCUUAUGUCUGGGGCUACACACGUGCUACAAUGGCAGGUACAAAAGGCUGCGAAAUCGCAAGGUGAAGCAAAUCCCUAAAGCCUGUCCCAGUUCAGAUUGUAGUCUGCAACUCGACUACAUGAAGUUGGAAUUGCUAGUAAUGGCGUGUCAGCAACAGCGCCGUGAAUACGUUCCCGGGCCUUGUACACACCGGACACGC
rnacentral:rRNA from 1 species